CCCAAACACCUGAAAUAGAGACUGAAACUGAAGUGCAGAAGCAAAAAAAAAGGCAUCUAUGCCAAAAAAAUGUGAGCAACUAGGAGCUUCCAAAAAACACACAGCAAAACAGGUGUACAUUGCUAAGUAUAUUUCCCAAAACAGGGGAGAACUACUGGAAAUUGGCCAAAUCAGGUGGGCCAUACUAUGCAACAGCAAACACGUGUAAUAGGUCUGCACAUUCUGACUGCAUUGUAUUAACUCUGACAUUGAGGUCAGUGUGCACAAGAAAGAAUGUAAGCCCCUAGGAGCUUCCUAAACACACACACACACACACACACACAUAGCAAAACAGGUGCACAUUACUAAGGAUAUUUCCCAAAACAGAGGAAAACUACUGGGAAUGGGUCAUAUCAGGUGGGUCAUACAACCCUAUGAGGCAGCAAACAAGUUUAAUGGGUCUGCACAUUCUGACUGCAUUC
rnacentral:lncRNA from 1 species